rnacentral:lncRNA from 1 species
GGUUGAUCUAUGUUACUAGCAGCUUUCAUUGAAAUACUGGAAUGAGACAGUCAGUGGCACACAGACUUCUCUGCAGCAAGCAAAUAUUUUUCAGUUUAGUAAGACAGGAGUCUUGAAUAGAGGAAAAAUGCAGUGCAAGGAAGUAGUAACUGAAACAUUAUGAUUUAUUUGCUUAAAUUUAUUUUCAUGCCUCUAACAUUCUGCCCAUCUUUUGUAGAGAGAAGACAACUCUUUUUUUUUUUGUUGCUAUGAUCUCACUAUGAAUUUGUGGUCUAUCUAUGUUUCCUGUAUGCUUCAAGUUCUACGAAUAUUUUCUUUAAACAAGAAUGCUGACAGAAGAUGAAGCAAGGAACAAUAGCUUCCUUCAUAUUCAGUUCAGGAAGAGUGAGUUGUUUUGUUUUCUUCCUGUUCAUCCUUCUGGUAUGUCAAAAAGGCCUGCUUCACAAAUGCAUGGGACUAGACAGAGAUCUCCAGGUCACUGUGUAAAUCCACCCAUUUUGUACCCUGCUGGCAAUGUUGUCUGUAUCACUGACGGAAGAUGGUGUGCUCCUUCCUUAGCCUCAGUGCAGCAGCUGAAAAAAAAUUGCCGCCAUUCUAUCAUCUGGAAGCUGCUGUCUACGUUUGUUGUCUUCCGGUAAAUAUGUAAUAGCAGAGUCUGGAUUAGAAAAACUGGG